rnacentral:lncRNA from 1 species
UGAAACCUAGCUCCGGGCUAUACAGGUCUUCAAUGAUCGGACUCCAAUCGACAUCAAAGUGUCGCUCUCCUCCAGAANNNNNNNNNNNNNNNNNNNNNNNNNNNNNNNNNNNNNNNNNNNNNNNNNNNNNNNNNNNNNNNNNNNNNNNNNNNNNNNNNNNNNNNNNNNNNNNNNNNNAGGCAUGUCAAGAAUGGCUCUAAUCUUGUCCGGAUCCACCUCUAUGCCUCGCUCACUGACUAUGUAUCCCAAGAGUUUCCCAGAAGUCACUCCAAAAGUGCACUUCUUGGGAUUCAGUCUCAAUCUGAACUGUCUGAUCCUCUCAAAGAACCUCUCAAGAGCUGCCAAGUGAUCUGAUCUAUCUCGGGAUUUCACUAUCAUGUCGUCUACAUAAACCUCGACAUCCCGAUGCAUCAUGUCAUGGAAGAGUGUGGUCGCUGCCCUCUGAUAGGUGGCUCCUGCGUUCUUCAAUCCGAAUGGCAUGACUCUAUAGCAAUAAGUACCCCACUCGGUAAUGAAGGACGUCUUCUCCAUGUCCUCUGGAGCCAUCAAGAUCUGACUGUACCCGAAAAAUCCGUCCAUAAAGGACAACAUCGAGUGACCUGCUGUACUGUCAACUAGCAUGUCGAUGUGUGGGAGAGGGAAAUCAUCCUUAGGACUGGCCUUGUUGAGAUCUCGGAAAUCAACACAGACUCUCACCUUGCCAUCCUUUUUAGGAACAGGGACGACAUUGGCCAGCCACUCCGGGUACUCGACCACUGAUAGAAACCCCACACUGAGUUGCUUCUGAAUCUCCUCUUUCACCUGCAAGCUCCAACGAGGGUGCAAUCGUCUCAACUUCUGCUUAACCGGUCUGGCAUGGGGCAGAAGUGGCAAACGAUGCUGGACGAUGGAUGGAUCAAGGCCCGGCAUGUCCUCAUAGGACCAUGCGAAAACGUCCAAGUAGGAUCUGAGCAACUGGAUGAGACUAUCUCUCUCAUCUGAGGAUAAAUCUGACCCGAUCCUCAACUCCCUAGGCUGAUCUGCGGUGCCGAAAUCAACAAUCUCUAUGUCUCCUAUAGCAGGUGAAACCCUCUGAUCAACGGGAUCCGAAUCGGAAACAGAAGAUGAGUCAUCAUCUGAGUCGUGCUGUGCAAUCUCAUCAUCAAUAUCAAAAAUCUGUGGUGUGGGUGAAGAUGGUGCAGAUAAAUCAAUAUCCCAAGAGACAGGCAGAUACUCAAAAAUGCUCAAAUCCAUAGAUGAAACAUCGGAAACAAUGUCAGAACAGGAGACGAACCCCGACAGAAUGUCAAAUGAAAGAGGUGGGUCCACAAAGUCGGACGCUCCCUCAACAAUGCCAACAUGGCUAUCAAUCAAAUCAUCAAAAACUAUAGCAUCCUCAACAAUCUCCAGAGUAGGGGUUGUCUGGAUCUCCUCAACGAUCUCGAUGAAAGACACCCCGAAAAGAUCGAAUGGUGAAGUGAGCCCAGGAUGAACUCUCUCCUCGAUCGGGCUCAAGCUCAGGGCGAGCAUCUCGUCGAUGUACUCGUCGUGUGGGACGGCUCCGUCCACUAUGUCUUCGACCCCAGCAAAGGUCCCAUGCUCAUCGGUCUCGUCCGGGAAGCAAAGCGUCAUAAGGCUCGUGCGAUCUGGAGACGAAGGAGCAAUCAACACAGAAGUCGAAGAGCCAGGAGCUCCGUCUCUCAAUCGUAACUGCUGGACAAGGCGCUGAAGCUCGACCUCCUGAGUGGUGCUAAGUCCUCCAAUGAUCAUGUCCGAACGGGUCAAUGGCUCUGAUGCCCUCACAAAAUAAUCAGAUAAGCUCCUGGUGUAUGGACGAAGAGGAUAGUAGAAAGGUGUGUGGGUCAGUCGAGCUCUCACUCUCUCCUUGCGCAAACGCGCCAUGUAGAGAUAAUCGGCCUCAGUGGGGAUGAACCCAAGUCCGAACGGUACGUCGUGAUCAGGGAUGGCUAUGAACUCGCUCGGUCCAUGCUGACGUCGACCCAACCCCAUGCCGGGUAGAUAGGACAUACUCCGCAUGAUAUCGAGCACCACUGUGCUCCCAUGCCGGUCAAAGGACAUGGCCACAAAAUCCCGGCAGAAAUCCUCUAUCUCCACAGUCUGCACCUCAUCGAAGGUGAAUCCAGUCAGAAAAAGAUCGUCAUCAGUGUGACUAAUCUCGAGCACAAGCUCGGCAGCAAUGAACAUGUCUCCCACAGACUGCACCACGACGACCUGACCAUCGUGAAUAAACUUCACCUUCUGAUGAAGGGAAGAAGGAAUGGCCCCGACUCUGUGGAUCCAUGGUCGGCCCAGAAGCAGGUUAAAGGAUGUAGGAAUCCUCAAAACCUGGAAUACAGCGACAAAAGUGGCCGGACCGAUCAGCAACUCGAUCUCCAAUGUACCCAUGACCUCCCUCCGAGUACUGUCAUAUGCGCGAACGGUCUGAGUAGUGGGACCAAAAUCAGAAGGAGCGUAUCCAAGGGCGAUGGCAGUGGCAAGAGGACAUACGUUCAGGGCCGAGCCAUUGUCCAAGAGGACAGAUGGGACUCGGCGGCCUGAACAGCCAACAGAUAUGUAGAGUGGGCGAGUGUGGUCUGAGCCCUCCGGUGGCAAGUCAUCAUCGGAAAAGACGAUACAAGUGGCUCUGCCAACCGUCAUCAUAUGAAUGAGUCCCUCGGGAGUGGUCGUGGUAUCAACUCUGAUCUGGCUCAGAGCUCGAGUCAGUGCAUCCCGAUGAGUACUGGAGGACGCUAAAAGGCUCCAGAUAGAAAUACGAGCCUGAGUGCUCUGCAACUGCCUCAAAAUCUCAUCAUUCUCUGCUCUGACCUCCUCCUGGGAUGACGUAUCCCCUAAGGGUCUAGCGGCAGCGGCUGGAGGUGGCUGUCUCACUACUCUCCCUCCCCGGAGGAUAUACUGAACGUCCGGAGUCUGAGGAUCAUCACUGUGUGGAGCCUGAACCUCCUCAACAUCUGGGAUCAGAAUGUACGGCGCCUGAACGCUAUAGCGCGUGAAUGUCAGAGGCUCGGAAGUGGCUGCCUGUACAGAUGCUGCCUCAGGAACUAAUCGGAAUGGAGCAGGAAUCUGUGGCUCUAGGGUCACCCCACUCGUCUCAUAAAUCCCAGCUGGCAUGAUAGGCUCCGGGUCUGAAUCAUCCCAACUCAACAUAUGGACAUGAUCAUCAGUCUCAUCGAAGUCCAAGAAAUGAAUACCACCGGCUGGUGGAGGAACUGCAUGUGUGGUGUGGGUCGGCAACGGGUUUGUGGUCACACUCGGCUGACCCAAGUGUACCAAACCCUGGUCUAUCAGAUCCUGAAUAGCAUGCCUCAGAGCGGUGCAUCGAUCGGUCUCAUGUCCAGGCCCCUGAUGAUAAGCACAGUGUAAGUCCAUCCUAAACUGAGCUGGAAUCGGCUGAGGUAGUGGUCGAGGAGUGAGAGCAGUCAAUAAACCAGCCUCCGUAAGCUUCCGAAGAGCCUGGCUCAACGGCAUGCCUAUCUGCGAGAACUGCCUCUGCGUCCUCAAAGCGAACGGAGCAGAAGUCUGCUGGGCUCCAGGUCGGGGAUAAGGCGCCGCAGGUCUCGCGGUGAACUGAGCAGCGUAGCAUGGCUGCCCUGUGGCUGUGUAGGAGACCGCGGGUCUCUCAAUGCCCUGAGUGGCAUAAGAAGGUAAAACCAAUGUCUGUGGCAUGUGCGUCUGAUCGUAAGCCGGCCGAGGUGCCCGUGGCCUGUACUGAUGAGAUGCGUAGGAAGAAUGAGGCUCGGAAAACUGUGGGAUCGGCUGAUGGCGUCUGAGAGGCCUCUGACUGGAUGAACUGAUAGCACCAACCUCUGUCGGUCUCGGUCCUACGAAUGGUUUCUUCCCCUUAACAUCACUAGGGGAAGAAUCUGCCCAUAAACCUCUCGUGAUGCCGUCCUCGACAUCAUACAAAGCCAUAACCAGAGACCCAAAAUCUGUGAACGGGACCCCGACCACAUGUCUGGCGAUCCCCGGCUGUAGGCUCCUCAAAACCAUCUGAAUCUGGUCUCUCUCUGAUGGUCUAUCCACUAUCUCAGCUAUCUUCCCGCGCCAGCGGGAAAUGAAAGAAGAAACGGACUCCUCUGUCCUCUGCCUCAGAGCCUCGAGCUCUCUCCUCGAUACGUCUACAACAGUGUUAAACGAAAACUGUCGUAGGAACUCCUGGGCCAAGUCAUCCCAUGUACGGCGUCUCGAGGACUCUAGAGACGCAAACCAGCGCUGAGCCGCCCCACUCAAAGAUAGGGGGAAAAGAGUGAUCAUCUGAGGCUCGUCCAGUCCAUGAGCCCUCAUCACGGUGCUAUAAAGUCUGAGGUGGAGGCGCGGACAACCAAUACCAGUGUACCUCUCAAUAUCUGGCAUCCUGAACUUAGCCGGCAAGCUGGCUACCGGCAUAGCCCCAAAAUCAUCCCAAACAACGGAUCCAUCUGACACUCUCAUCUGUCUCAUACACUGCUCGAUGCGGUUCAUGCGCGCAUGCGUGUCAUCAGCGACAACGGCCUGGGCGACUGCAAGUGGAGCGAUCCCAGAAUGCCCGUGUAAUACAUAUGGUGAUGUCUGAUGCACUGAAGGAACUGGUGGGGGUGGUGGAGGUGGCACCGGGUCAUAGGAUACCUCGUCCUGAGCGAUAUGUGGCCUGCUCUGCUGGUCAUUGAUCUCCUGCCUAAGGCCAGCCAGAGCCUCCUGGAUAGAAGCCAUGGCAGUCGUGAACUGAUCGACCGUGACAACCUGCUGAUCCAUAUCUGGUGUAUCUGAAACCCGAACUAAUCUGCCCUCUACUCUGAUCCACGAAACUAUACCCAGACUGAGAGUAAAAAUCCUGAUCCUGAAAGUACUCCUCCUCUGCUCUGAUCCACAAAAGGUAUAUCAAGACGAGGAAUCAAAGGUCCGAUCCUACAAAGCACGAAGAACGGAAUAAGGAUAUGGCUCGGGGAAUGUAUAGAAGAAAAGAUAAUCUGAACGGGAACAAGCAAAGCAUCCAAGUGAAGAUGAGCGGUCCGACCGUACUCAAAUUCGUCCUGAUCUCAGUGCACUCUCAUCUAGAGACUAAACAGAGGGAAAAUCGGAUCCAAAACUACGGCUACAGAGGCACGGAAAGCCCUCAGAUGCACCCACGUGUAGGGAGGGAAUCCUAAUCGAAGGAUCUAUGGCUCAACCUACAAGGUCAAGGUGGCUCUAAAUGGAUAAGGGUGGACUUUAAAAUAUCCCUAGCAGAAGCGAUCAUACCCUCCGGCGAUACGCAACCCUCUGCACGCCUCCGAAGAGACGGGGCGCUUCCAUGCAAGGUGGUCAUCACCUCCACACAUGCACUACCUCGCAUUCCAGGGGGUUUCCUAUGGUGAAACCUCUCAAACUCUCAACACUCAAUAGUCUACUAGCGUGCACAGUGAUGGUGUGGGUGCAUCCGAAACCCUAAGAAGCUAAAGCAGGAUAUGAAACACACUGGCCACAUAAAUAUCCAUGAAACCUAGCUCCGGGCUAUACAGGUCUUCAAUGAUCGGACUCCAAUCGACAUCAAAGUGUCGCUCUCCUCCAGAAUGCUCCCGUACAUCGAUAUAGCCCGUUGCUAGACCCUACUCCUAAUCUCUGGCUCGGUCAGAGAGCAAACACACAGAAGGUCUCACACUUGCAAUAGUGAGAACCGGGAUGAAAGGAAUGACCGAAACCAAGAG